ACGGAGUACAAGAGUUUUACUGGAAACCUUCCUCAAUUGGUCCCUGACCAAGUUCUGAAGUUUAAGCAACUUACUGUGCUUACACUGGCUUAGACGGCCAA